UUACGGCCAUAUCACGUUGAAACACCGGUUCUGGUAUGAUUACAGAAGUUAAACAAUGUCGUGCCUAGUCAGUACCUAGAUGAGUAACCGUUUAGGAAUACCAGGUGCUGUAAGC